ACGGCAGCUGAUCUGUGAGGAAGAGCAGAAAGCUCUCCACCUGGUGGACCUCCAAGAAGCAGUGGCCACUGCUCAUGUGACUGAGGUGCUGGCUGAUAUCAAUGUCCACAUGGCAAAGCUGAUGACCGAGAUGGUAGAGAUUCAGAGGCAGCUGAACAUCUUCAGUGAGCUAGCCUUGCUCAAGCCUGAGAGCAGAGAUGAAGACCACAGAGCCGGCCCUUUCCCUCCUGCUUCUCCUUCCCGAGGGAACAGGCGAUAUGACGAUGAUGACCUGUCAUCUUCUUCCAAUGGGCCCUGCUGAGAACUUGAUAUGGUCUUGGCUGCAGCAGACUCCACAGAGAAGGAUCCUCUCCACUCAAACUCCAUCUGGUGACAAGAAGACAGGAGAAGCAUCUUGAGUGAAGCAUGUGCAGCAGAAGCAGCCUCUGACAUUUCCUCCCUUAACUCUGCGGUAUCUUUGGUUCUCCUAGAUAAUAAUGUGACUCUUCUCAAACCCCUCCUUUGGGAAUGCACUGCUUGUCUUACCUAAUGACUUAUUCACUCAUCAGCCUUUUUUAGGUUGACAAAUAUCUUGCAAAGAGAAGGCACUGGCCUUUGAAAAUGUAGAGCCAGUAAUUAAAAUGAAGAAUGUAUUACAAUAAAACGUAGAAAUAUGAGCCUAAAAGCCACAUUGGUAUUUUUAGUGAUGGGAGUUAUUGAAGACUUCAGUUUAAUAAUUCAGUGCAGCUGAGAUUAAUAAAUGAUAUGAGGUGGAAAUGGUCUUUCAAGAAGAAGGAUAUGAGAGGUAUAGUUAACAAUUUAAUUUAGUGUAUUCUGAAAAAUGCAACAUGAAUUGCUAUAUAGUAACUUGGCACAGGCCAAAGGUUUCUCAGCCCAUUUUGUAAGAGAGGGAUGGGGAACGUGCAUCAUGAUUGAGGAUCAUGCCUAGUUAGUAAUGCCAUAUUAACAGAGUCUGGGGAGCCAGGAAUCCCAUCUCUAAAACUGACUCCCCCUACAACCUCUAGCAAAUCAUUGCUUAGUUUCUCCUUCUGCUAUAAUGUCAGGUAAGUACUCUGUUCCAGCCUCUCAAGGGAAGACAGUACAAUGGUGGAGGGAGGACAAAUGAGACCAAAAUAAGGUGGUUAAUCUCGGCAUCACUCUCUUGCCUACUCCAAAAACAGGUCUGCUUCAGGUUCCCAAAGAGCAAGCCAGUCCUGAUAUAGAUAUAUAUAUCUAUAUAUAUAUAGAUAUAUAUAUAUAUAGGAUGGUGGAGAGAAGAGUGGGAAUGAAUCAUCGUAUUGGUUCUCAUCAUCCAGAGCAGAGAGCUGCCAUGACUAGCUCUCCCAAAGAGGUCAACUCCAGGUUUUCUAUUUGGAACAAAUCACAGACCCUGAGCACUUGCUAUCAUAGUGCCCUGUCAGCCCUUCUCUACCCUUUGCUGCGCCUCUCAGCGGUGCUAGAAAAUUCUGGUUAAAAUUCA